AGUUACCGCCAGCUGAAUGUAUAGGCUGGUUGGGGGGAACGCGGGGAAGUGAAACAUCUCAGUACCCGCAGGAAAAGAUAUUCCGUGAGUAGUGGCGAGCGAAAGCGGAGGAGGCUAAACCAGAUGCGUGCCAGAGGCGGCGGCCGUUGCGUGUUUGGUGUUGUGGGGCCAUGUUGGAUCCUUCUGCCGGGGGGUCGCGCGUGUUGUUGCUGGGAGUUGAACAGUCUGGGAUGGCUGACCGUAGAGCGUGAGAGUCGUGUAAGCGGACCGGUGGCAGUGUGUGUGGGUGUGGUGCCCGAGUAGCGCGGGACUCGUGAAAUCUCGUGUGAAUCUGCCAAGACCACUUGGUAAGCCUAAAUACUACUUGAUGACCGAUAGUGCAUAGUACCGUGAGGGAAUGGUGAAAAGUACCCCGGGAGGGGAGUGAAAUAGUACCUGAAACCGUGUGCCUGUAAGCCGUCAGAGCCUUGUGGGGUGAUGGCGUGCCUUUUGAAGAAUGAGCCUGCGAGUUAGUGAUACGUGGCGUGCUUAACCCGUGUGGGGUAUGCGUAGCGAAAGCGAGUCUGAAAUAUGGCGUUUGUCGCGUGUUCUAGACCCGAAGCGGGGUGAUCUACCCAUGGUCAGGUUGAAGCAGAGGUAAGACUGUGUGGAGGACCGAACCCACCAGGGUUGAAAACCUGGGGGAUGAACUGUGGGUAGGGGUGAAAGGCCAAUCAAACUCCGUGAUAGCUGGUUCUCCCCGAAAUGCAUUUAGGUG
rnacentral:rRNA from 1 species